AGACGUGUCCGGAUGCGAAGCAGGUAAAAUGGAGAUGCCGGGGAUUGAACCCGGGACCUCAUACAUGCGAAGCAUGCGCUCUACCACUGAGCUACAUCCCCAGACGGUGCCUCCCAAGGCCGGUACUUUAAGAACAGAUGAACCCCUCUGCCCUGUAGGGGGCGCUGCAGCAGGGAGCCUGUAACUGUGAAUCCUGUUCGAAGACCAGAGGAUCUGUGUGUGUGUGUGUGUGUGUGUGUGUGUGUGUGUGUGUG